UACGAAGGGUGCAAGCGUUAAUCGGAAUUACUGGGCGUAAAGCGCGCGUAGGUGGUUCAGUAAGUUGGAAGUGAAAUCCCCGGGCUCAACCCGGGAACUGCAUCCAAAACUGCUGAGCUAGAGUACGGUAGAGGGUGGUGGAAUUUCCUGUGUAGCGGUGAAAUGCGUAGAUAUAGGAAGGAACACCAGUGGCGAAGGCGACCACCUGGACUGAUACUGACACUGAGGUGCGAAAGCGUGGGGAGCAAACAGG
rnacentral:rRNA from 1 species